rnacentral:lncRNA from 1 species
CCCUCCCUCCCCAGCCUUAACUUGUGAUCCUCCUGCUUCAGCCUCCCACUUAUCUGGAAUGACAGGCCUGUGCCACUGUCCCUGGCAAGAAGGACACUUUUGAAAGCAUUUGUUUUCUUUUUCUUUUUUUUUUUCUUAAAGAGUGAGAUGAGAGAGAGAGAUAGAAUUUUUAUUUAUUUUUUUGUUUUUGGCAGACACAGCAUCUUUGUUUGUAUGUGGUGCUGAGGAUCGAACCCCGGACGCACGCGAGCCAGGCGAGCUCGCUACCGCUUGAGCCACAUCCACAGCCACAGCAUUUGUUUUCUAUUUGUGAAUAUUAUACUUGAGGGGAAAGAAUAAUCACUUAACACUUCCUUGUGUUUGCUCAAAAUAACUGCUUUAAAGGGAAUAAGGAGGUUGUUUAUAGAUCCCAGGGAUAUGGAGUCCUGGGCUUCAUCAAUAGAGUAUAACUGCUCCCUUUUCUGAUAGUCCAUGAUGUAGAGUCACCCCAGUCGUGUAGUCACGUAAGCACACAGGGUAAUACUGAUGUAGGGACAAAGGAGGCUAGGCACUGGAGAUAGCCAGAAACAGUUUUAUCUGGCUGCAGCCAGUCUCAGAGGGCACAGCUUUUGCUGUAAUCAAUCAAUCAAUCCCCUGAACCCUGAGUUCAGGUGGUUUUAGGAUUUUAUACUCAUCAUGUAAGAGGAGGGGCUCAGAAGUUCACAUUGUAAUACGGAGACUCUCAAAUAACUCUCAGACCACACAGUCUCAUUCCAGUUAAGCCUUUAUUGCUGGCUCUUGGCAGACACUCUGCUCUCAAAAGAAUGAGAUGAUCAGAGUGGUGCCCCUGCCUUCAGUUGGCUCCAUAUUUAAGCA